AUACAUAAGGGGAAGAGAUACAUAGUUGGCUUACAAUCGCCACUUCACACAAAUACAUGAAUAAAGCAUUACAUCAUCCAGAUACAAUCAAGGUCCAACUACGGAACCAAAAUAAAAGAAGAACCCCAAAUGCGACAAAGGUCCCCGAUCGACCCCAACUGGGCUCCACUACUGAUCAACUAGAACGAAACAACACAAAGGGCAAGAUCUUCAUCGAGCUCCUCCUUGAGCUUGGUUGCGUCACCUGCUCGGUAACAUAGGCACCUGCAAACUGGUUUUGGAAGUAUCUGGUGAGCCACGAGGACUCAGCAAUCCCAUUACCAUGGGUAUCAAGACUGGCAAAGCUUAAUGGGAAAGGAAGGGGUAAAGUGGUGAGGUUGCAGCACCGACUAAGCAAUGUAUGGUGACUAACCAACGCAAACAAGAGCGAGAAGAGAAAUCAAGCGGAACGGUCGUGAAGCUAGCAAUGAUCAAGAGGUGAUCCUGAACACCUACUUACGUCAAACAUAACACAGAAACCGUGUUCACUUCCUGGACUCCGCCGAGAAGAGACCAUCACGGCUACACACUCGGUUGAUGCAUUUUAAUUCGGAUCAAGUGUCAAGUUAUCUACAACCGGACAUUAACAAAUUCCCAUCUGCCACAUAACCGCGGGCAUGGCUCUCGAAAGUUUAUACCCUGCAGGGGUGUCCCAACUUAGCCCAUGACAAGCUCUCGCGAUCAACGAAGGAAUAGACCUUCACCCGAGACACUCCGAUCAGACUCGGUAUCCCGGUACAUCAAGACAUUUUGACAAUGGUAAAACAAGACCAGCAAAGCCGCCCGAUGCGCCGACGAUCCCGAUAGGAGCUGCACAUAUCUCGUUCUCAGGGCAACACCGGAUGAGACAUCCUACAAGUAAAACCAGACCUCGAGUUGCCUCGAGGGGGCCCCGCAGUCUACUCGGUUCGGACCAGCACUUAGACAAGCACUGGCCCGGGAGGGGCUAAAAUAAAGAUGACCCUUGAGAGAGCGACUCCCAAGGGAAAAAGGUAGGUGGUGGUGAGGCAAAUGGUAAAACCAAGGUUGGGCCUUGCUGGACAAGUUUUAUUCAAAGCGAACUGUCAGGGGGGUCCCAUAAAUCACCCGACCGCGUUAGGAAUGCAAAAUCCGGGAACAUAACACCUGUAUGACGGAAACUAGGGCGGCAAGAGUGGAACAAAACACAAGGCAUAAGGCCGAGCCUUCCACCCUUUACCAAGUAUAUAGAUGCAUUAAUAACAUAAGAGAUAUUGUGAUAUCCCAACAAAACCCUGUCCACCAUGGAGAAAUCUUCAACUUCACCUGCAACUAGCAACGCUAUAAGAGGGGCUGAGCAAAGCGGUAACAUAGCCAAACAAUGGUUUGAAUAGGAAAGGUGUCAAAGGUUAGGGGUUCAUGGCAAUAUGGGAUGGCUUGAUAAACAGGUGAUAGGCAGCGCAGCAUAGCGAUAGAUCGAAGCAACUAGCAUAGCAAUGAUAGUAGUGAUAUCCAGGGUAGCGGUCAUCUUGCCUGAAAUCCCGCAAGGAAGAAGAACGAGUCCAUGAAGAAGACGAACGGAUCCUCACGAUCGCAACGAAACAGGAACUAACAAGAAGA
rnacentral:lncRNA from 1 species